CUGGGAGCCAUGUGGAGAGCUUGUUAAAAUGCACACUCUGAGUCAAUGAACCUGGAGUGGGGCCUGAGAUUCUGCAUGUCUGUCAAGAUCUCAGGUGAAGCCAAU
rnacentral:miRNA from 1 species